rnacentral:rRNA from 1 species
GAAGUCGGUGGGGUAACCCGCAAGGGAGCCAGCCGCCGAAGGUGGGGUAGAUGAUUGGGGUGAAGUCGUAACAAGGUAGCCGUAUCGGAAGGUGCGGCUGGAUCACCUCCUUU